UGUUGAUGCUAAUGAGAAGGCCCCUGCUUCUGCAGAGAGUAGAAACUUUUCAAGUCAGUCCAGCACAGCAGAGCAGACCAACCACUAGACAGCAGGGAGAGAACCCUAAGAGGGAGCCAGUCCCUCUUAACACAAACUACAUGGGAUACAUACAGGAGCUGCCAAUAAACAUGGAGCUGAUGGACUGGAAGAUAAAGCAGAACAAAGGAAAGGAUGUCUAAUUCAGGAAAGCCUCAUUACCUGAAGGUAACUUGUAUUGGAAAAAGUCCACGUAAGGUGAGUCACUUAAGGUGAGCAUUUCAAAGUAAAUAGAAAAAGUAAGAGUUGAAUAGAGCUUUAUUUUGGAAAAAAAAAAAAUGUGAAGGAGUUCCCUGGUAGCUCAGCAGGUUAGGAUCCAG
rnacentral:lncRNA from 1 species